GGUCCAGUGGCUUAAAGCCUGAAUGAGGUCACAAGCUCAUGAGGCCACAAGUCCAAACCCUGGUGCUACUACAUGUGCUAAAGUCAUCCUGGCAGCCCAUUUUCUGGAAGCUUUGGAAAGAGGAAGCAUAAAAAACAUUUUGUUGGGUAAUUUUUGGUGGGGCCACACAGGUGGUGCUCAAGGGCUAUUCCUGGCUGGGUGUGGCGGGCGGGUGUUGGGGCCUACUCCUGGUGGUGCUCGGCUGGACCCAAGCCUCCUGCUUGUGAAGCUUAUGCCCCUUCUGUUGCAUAGCUCCCUGGCCCUUGAAAACCUUUUUUUUUUUUUUUUGGUUUCUGGGUCACACCAGCGAUGCACAGAGGUUACUCCUGGCUCAUGCACUCAGUAAUCACUCCUGGCGGUGCUGGGGGGACCCUAUGGGAUGCUGGGAAUCGAACCUGGGUCAACCGCAUGCAAGGAAAAUGCCCUACCCGCUGUGCUAUCGCUCCAGUCCCUGAAAAACUUUUUAAUUGCUACUUGGGACUAGAACAGAGUAUAGCAGUUAGGGCAACUCUUAGUGUGCACCUGACCUAGGUUUCAUUCUUAGCACCACCUGGUCUCCCAGCAUCAGUGGGCAUGGCUUGGUGGCACCCAGAAUCCAGGGGUGACCCAGCUAAUGCCCAGCACUGCACAGUACAGGUAGCACAGACCAUUAGGCCCUCGCACUGAACUGCCAUACCAGCUACUGAGAAUCACUGGAGGGGUCCUUGGGCCUCCUGAAAUCUGCGUUCUCCACCCCGUAUCCAAAUAAGUAAACAACCUAAAAACAGCGGCUUCCUCUGAGUGGUGUGCAUGUGUGAUUUUUCCUUCUGUGCCUCUAGUGUCAGGUGGUGCUAGUUCGGUAGAUCAGCAGGGAAAAGCGUUGUUGAGGGUGUGUCUCAUCCCGUGUUUGGUGGAGGACAGAGUGGCAUUCGAGGGGUGCCACCAACCUGGUGUUUGUCUGCGCCAUCCUCCAAGUCAUCAAGAAGGGGCUUGUGGGCUCCAUGAAGGCCUUGCAGAAGCAGUACGUGUCCUGGGACACGGUGGUGACGAGUGAGGAUGCCGACGCCAACACCGUGUACAGUGCCCUGGAGGCCAUGUUCAUCCACUGUCUGCACACCAAGCACAUCCUCGCCGAGGAGGGAGAUGAAAGGAAGAAGCGUGCUCAGUGGAAGCCCUUGUCACAGCCUGCCUUCUGGCUCCUCUGAAAGCCAUCACCCACAGGGAGCACUCCAUGCCAGCAGCAUUCGGGUCUGGUGGGCGAGCUGACCAGCGCAGCCUGCCAGGGGAGCAGCCAGCCAGAGCCUCGGGAGGAUGGAGCCGGACUGAGCAUCGUGGUUCCCUCACCCACAAGCCCAGUUCGUCUCAGCAGACAUAAAGCAGUUCAACAUCGUGCCCUUGCCCUAAACAGCUCCCUGUGCCAGGAACUGGCAGACUACUAUUUUGGUUUCAAUGGAUGGUAUAAAAGGAUUGUCAAGGUGGAAGUGGAGAGAGAGUUCAAGUGCAGAGCCUGUGCUGACCGUGUUCAAGGCCCGGGGUUUUGUCCUGAGUACUGCAGGACUCCCCAGCACUGUGGGGUGUGCCUGCAGGGGGUCCUGUGGACCAACAGACCUGACAAAUGAGAGUUGUCUAAGUGAAAGUGUCUAAGCACCGGUCACACCCCAGAAUCAAUCAAGAUCUCAGUGAAUUGAUGGUGGUGUCAUAUUUUAUAGCACUUUUGUGCUCUGUAUGUGCGUGGCUGGUGUAGUUCAUGGAAAGUUUGGCUUAAUGUUGAAGUCACAGGUUACUUCAACUGUUAGCACGGAUUGCUGGAAUUGAGGUUUUGUUUUGAAUUAAACAGUUUAAAAUCUACAUUGAGAUGUUCAGAAGGACCUUCAAUCUAAAAUCCAGCUUCAGGAUCUUUCUGACCUCGAAGAAAGGGAAAAUGAAGAUAUUGUGGCACCAUUUCAGAAGCAAAGCAUAAAGAUCUUCUGUGCUUAGAGGUGGUAUUGUCACCCUUUGAUUGCAAGAGCCCUGGAGUUGGCAUAGCCGAGACUUUGGAUAAACUGUGAGGUCUCUGUGGAGAUUGGAAUGGGGGUGUGGGUAAGAAUUCUCUCUCUCUCUCUCUCUCUCUCUUUCUCUCUCUCUCUUUCUCUCUCUCUCUCUCUCUCUCUCUCUCUCUCUCUCUCUCUCUCUCCCCCCCCAUCAUAUUUUCAGAUACAUCAGAAACAGCCCUCUCCUUGCUAAACUGCUAAAGCCUUAGGCAGAUGUUUUUAACAAUACUUGUUUAAACCUUAGGUAGUAACGAACAGAAUUUUGGGGGAUGGGGUGGGGGAAGUGGACGUGCUGGGGACACCUAAUGAUGCUCCUGGCUCAGCACUCAGAAAUCACUCCUGACGGUGCUCAGAGGACUCUGUGGGAUGCUGGAGAUCAAACCUGGGUUGGCUACAUGCAAGGCAAGUGCUCUACCUGCUGUACUAUCACUCUGACAGAACCUUAACUUCACAAUUUGAGAGCUGUCUUCCUACCAUGAAGAUUAGGGGUAUGGGGAUGGGAACAGUAUUUCUCCUAUUUGGGGCAACAAUCUUCUUUGUUCCAAAGUAAUCUUUCAAGUAUAGAUCAUGUGUAAUCUUCUGUUAUCCCAGCAAAACCUUCAUCUAGUUAAUGAAAUAAACUAAUUAAAUGUUUUCCCCCCAGAAUCUAUGGCACUUAGGCCUAGGGUAUACAGUCAAAAAAACCGGGCUGUUCAUCUCACUAGACUGAACUAAGCUAUAUCCCCACGCCGGCUGAGAAGAAAUUUUCUUCUUUCUCGGGAAGAAACGCGGUGUGUCAUCAACUACAGUGUGAUGUCCAUUAAGCAAACAGACCUGGUGGCGUGGGAAUGGGAUAUAAGGGGAAAAAUUAUGUACAAGGAACAGCGGGACGCUGGUGGAAUCUCGAGCCGGAGCCGAUACCAGCGCAAGACCUUCGGUUCCAGAGACUGCUUGCAGACACUCUACUAGUCUAUCAACUAAGCCAGAGCCCCACGCCUGCUGAUGACGGGAAAUAACCAUCCUUUUUGGUUUUUUUUCCCUUGUCAGGCAGCGUGGCGAUUACUAAAACAGGCGUGAACUCGGUGGCGCGGGGCAAGGGGGAAAAAGAAAAACUAUGUAACAAACAGCGGGACUUAAUAUCUCUAUAUUCUUAGCAAUGGAGAACUAUCAAAUGCCUCCUUGGCAAUAGGACUGCUUUUCUUUUUUGGGGGAAACCCCAACAACGGUAGUGAGUUGUGUGUUGAAACAUGGAAUGUAAUCGAAAUAAGGCGUAAACGAAGUGAAACA